UGGUUCUGGCAUCGAUGAAGAACGCAGCGAAAUGCGAUAAGUAAUGUGAAUUGCAGAAUUCAGUGAAUCAUCGAAUCUUUGAACGCACAUUGCGCUCAUUAGUAUUCUAGUGAGCAUGCCUGUCCGAGCGUCAUUUCAACCCUCAGACACCUUGUGUCUGGCGUUGGGGCUUCUAUAGCGAUUGCUAUAGGCCCUGAAAAUCAGUGGCGGGCCCGCCGAGAGCCUAAACGCAGUAGUUAUUUUCUCGUUUUUGGCUUCUUGGUGGUUGUCCAGCCGGUAAGCUUCCAAUUUUCAGAAGUUUGACCUCGGAUCAGGUAGGAUUACCCGCUGA
rnacentral:misc_RNA from 1 species